rnacentral:pre_miRNA from 1 species
AAUUCCUGCUUUCAAGGAGUUCACAGUCUAAUGGAGUGUAGCAUUUGCCCAGUCCUUUAGAUUGUAAUCCCCUUGAGUGCAGGGACU